CUUUUUUUUUUUUUUUUUGCUUUUUUUUUUCGUUUCAUUUUGCUUUCGCAUGUCCUGCAGGCAAGGCGUACGCUCCGGAGUUUUACUACGACACCUACAACCCGCUGUGGCAGAACCGGCCCCGCGUUUACUCCUACAGCCUCCAGUGGACCCAGAUGAACCCCGACGCCGUGGACCGCAUCCUCGCGUACCGCCUGGGCAUCCGGCAGAGGCGUCCGCUGCCGCUCGCCGGUCCUGGAAACCCACUUGCACGUUUGCAGUGCGGAGCCGGCGCCUCGAGGGACUGCGCAGGAGAAACUUGCAGAGAAAUCUAACUUCUAUCUCUCUAUCUAUAUAUCUUUUAUUAUGUCUUCCACGUAAGUAGAUAAAUAUAGCAAGAAACAUAGCUUUCGUACAGAAACAUGUGAUCCCUGAGAACUGAGAAACCUCCCAUAACCGCGUUAAAGCCCGUCGCGCUUGCAUCAUCGUAGGAUUGGCUUUGGACUUUCAAAGGACAUUCGCUACUGUUAAAAAAGCACGGUACCACGCUGUUUGCAGAGGAACUGUUAAAUUAACAUAGUAGUCAACAUUAAUUUACCGUUCAGCAAUUUUUAAGGAAAAAUGUUAUCU
rnacentral:lncRNA from 1 species